AUUGAACGCUGGCGGCAGGCCUAACACAUGCAAGUCGAGCGGAUGAGGGAAGCUUGCUUCCCGAUUUAGCGGCGGACGGGUGAGUAAUGCCUAGGAAUCUGCCUAUUAGUGGGGGAUAACGUUCCGAAAGGAACGCUAAUACCGCAUACGUCCUACGGGAGAAAGUGGGGGAUAUUCGGACCUCACGCUAAUAGAUGAGCCUCGUUCGGAUUAGUUAGUUGGUGAGGUAACGGCUCACCAAGGCGACGAUCCGUAGCUGGUCUGAGAGGAUGAUCAGCCACACUGAAACUGAGACACGGUCCGGACUCCUACGGGAGGCAGCAGUGGGGAAUAUUAUACAAUGGGCGAAAGCCUGAUCCAGCCAUGCCGCGUGUGUGAAGAAGGUCUUCGGAUUGUAAAGCACUUUAAGUUGGGAGGAAGAGUUGUAAGCUAAUAUCUUGCAGCUUUGACGUUACCAACAGAAUAAGCACCGGCUAACUCUGUGCCAGCCGCCGCCGUAACAC
rnacentral:rRNA from 1 species